rnacentral:rRNA from 1 species
UACGAAGGGGGCUAGCGUUGCUCGGAAUCACUGGGCGUAAAGCGCACGUAGGCGGUCUUUUAAGUCAGGGGUGAAAUCCUGGAGCUCAACUCCAGAACUGCCUUUGAUACUGAGAGGCUUGAGUCCGGGAGAGGUGAGUGGAACUGCGAGUGUAGAGGUGAAAUUCGUAGAUAUUCGCAAGAACACCAGUGGCGAAGGCGGCUCACUGGCCCGGUACUGACGCUGAGGUGCGAAAGCGUGGGGAGCAAACAGG